ACGGGUGAGUAAUACAUCGGAACAUGUCCUGUAGUGGGGGAUAGCCCGGCGAAAGCCGGAUUAAUACCGCAUACGAUCUACGGAUGAAAGCGGGGGACCUUCGGGCCUCGCGCUAUAGGGUUGGCCGAUGGCUGAUUAGCUAGUUGGUGGGGUAAAGGCCUACCAAGGCGACGAUCAGUAGCUGGUCUGAGAGGACGACCAGCCACACUGGGACUGAGACACGGCCCAGACCCCUACGGGAGGCAGCAGUGGGGAAUUUUGGACAAUGGGCGAAAGCCUGAUCCAGCAAUGCCGCGUGUGUGAAGAAGGCCUUCGGGUUGUAAAGCACUUUUGUCCGGAAAGAAAUCCUUGGUUCUAAUAUAACCGGGGGAUGACGGUACCGGAAGAAUAAGCACCGGCUAACUACGUGCCAGCAGCCGCGGUAAUACGUAGGGUGCGAGCGUUAAUCGGAAUUACUGGGCGUAAAGCGUGCGCAGGCGGUUUGCUAAGACCGAUGUGAAAUCCCCGGGCUCAACCUGGGAACUGCAUUGGUGACUGGCAGGCUAGAGUAUGGCAGAGGGGGGUAGAAUUCCACGUGUA
rnacentral:rRNA from 1 species